rnacentral:rRNA from 1 species
AAGGAAUAUUGGUCAAUGGACGCAAGUCUGAACCAGCCAUGCCGCGUGAAGGAUGAAGGUCCUCUGGAUUGUAAACUUCUUUUAUCUGGGACGAAAACGGGAUUUUUAUCUCAAUUGACGGUACCAGAGGAAUAAGCACCGGCUAACUCCGUGCCAGCAGCCGCGGUAAUACGGAGGGUGCGAGCGUUGUCCGGAUUUACUGGGUUUAAAGGGUGCGUAGGUGGGCUUAUAAGUCAGUGGUGAAAUCUCCGAGCUUAACUUGGAAACUGCCGUUGAUACUAUAGGUCUUGAAUUAUCUGGAGGUAAGCGGAAUAUGUCAUGUAGCGGUGAAAUGCUUAGAUAUGACAUAGAACACCAAUUGCGAAGGCAGCUUACUACACAAUCAUUGACACUGAGGCACGAAAGCGUGGGUAGC